AUGAUUACUGUGCUAUGCAACUUCCAUUCGCGAGGGGGGGGCUGUGUUUACACAUCAUACCAUGGGUUUCAUGAAUCACCAUAUCCAGAGAUUCGUCGACACAGCUUCCAUGCGAUGGAUGGCUUUUGCAAACCUGACAUGCGGCGAUGUGUACCAUAUAACUGGAAUUACCGAUGCAAGUCGAAGAAGGAUUGGCCGGUGCUGCCGGCUGGCGUCAAGUUCGAUCCCAUGGAUCAGGAGCUGAUCGAGCACCUUGAGGCCAAAGUGAGUGCUGACAGUAUCACACUGAGUGGCCUAAGGAAGCAUUUCUUCCAGCGCAAUUCCAGGGCGUUCAAAAGGGGCACGUGGACGCGUCGCAAGAUACAGUCGGAGUGCGGCAUGCACGCGAUGUGGCACAAGACCGACAAUACCUUGCCGGUGAUGGUCAACGGCCGGCAGACGGGCAGCAAAAAAGGUUCUGGUGCUGCACACCAACAAGAACUUCGACCAGCAGAGGACGAACUGGGUGAUGCACCAGUACCACCUCGGGGACCUGGAGCAAGAGAGGGAGCGGGAGCUGGUCCUCUGCAAGAUUUUCUACCAGACGAACACUAG
rnacentral:rRNA from 1 species